UAGUCAUAUGCUUGUCUCAAAGAUUAAGCCAUGCAUGUCUAAGAAUAAGCCCAUUGAAUGGUGAAUCUGCGAAUGGCUCAUUAAAUCAGUUAUUGUUUAUUUGAUGAUCACUUUUACUACUUGGAUAACCGUAGUAAUUCUAGAGCUAAUACAUGCGUCAAGCCCUGACUGUGUUUUUUUCACGAGAGACGUGGAAAGGGUGCAUUUAUUAGAUUCAAAACCAUCAAAAGGAUUUUUUGGGAGUUUGGGGAAGAAUUGAAAGAUUUUUUCUUUUUUAUCUCAUUUUUCUUUUUUUUAGAUGGUGAGUCAUAAUAACUGAGCGAAUCGAAUUUGGCCUUUUUGUGCCGUCGAUACCUCAUUCAAAUUUCUGCCCUAUCAGCUUUCGAUGGUAGGAUUUUGGCCUACCAUGGCGAUAACGGGUAACGGGGAAUUAGGGUUCGAUUCCGGAGAGGGAGCUUGAGAAACGGCUACCACAUCCAAGGAUGGCAGCAGGCGCGCAAAUUACCCAAUCCCGACACGGGGAGGUAGUGACAAUAAAUAACGAUGCUGGAUUAUUAUUUAAUCCGGCAAUUGGAAUGAGAGUGAUUUAAACCAACACUCGAGGAACCAUU
rnacentral:rRNA from 1 species